rnacentral:rRNA from 1 species
GACGAACGCUGGCGGCGUGCUUAACACAUGCAAGUCGUGCGGGAAAGUUCCCUUCGGGGAGCGAGUAUAGCGGCGCACGGGUGAGUAAUACGUAGGUAACCUGCCCUUGAGACUGGGACAACCUGUCGAAAGACGGGCUAAUACCGGAUAAGACCACGGGAGCUGCGGCUCCUGCGGUAAAAGGUGGCCUCUGCUUGCAAGCUAUCACUCGAGGAUGGGCCUGCGUGCCAUUAGCUAGUUGGUGAGGUAACGGCUCACCAAGGCAGAGAUGGCUAGCUGGUCUGAGAGGAUGACCAGCCACACUGGGACUGAGACACGGCCCAGACUCCUACGGAGGCAGCAGUGGGAAUAUUGACAAUGGGCGCAAGCCUGAUCCAGCGAUGCCGCGUGUGUGAAGAAGGCCUGCGGGUUGUAAAGCACUUUCAGUAGGGAAGAAAAGCCGAGUGCUAAUAUCAUUCGGUCUUG